GUGCCAGCCGCCGCGGUAAUUCCAGCUCCAAUAGCGUAUAUUAAAGUUGUUGUGGUUAAAAAGCUCGUAGUUGAACCUUGGGCCUGGCUGGCCGGUCCGCCUCACCGCGUGCACUGGUCCGGCCGGGCCUUUCCCUCUGUGGAACCCCAUACCCUUCACUGGGCGUGGCGGGGAAACAGGACAUUUACUUUGAAAAAAUUAGAGUGCUCCAGGCAGGCCUAUGCUCGAAUACAUUAGCAUGGAAUAAUGAAAUAGGACGCGCGGUUCUAUUUUGUUGGUUUAUAGGACCGCCGUAAUGAUUAAUAGGGACAGUCGGGGGCAUCAGUAUUCAACUGUCAGAGGUGAAAUUCUUGGAUCAGUUGAAGACUAACUACUGCGAAAGCAUUUGCCAAGGAUGUUUUCAUUAAUCAGGAACGAAAGUUAGGGGAUCGAAGACGAUCAGAUACCGUCGUAGUCUUAACCAUAAACUAUGCCGACUAGGGAUCGGACGGUGUUAUUCAUGACCCGUUCGGCACCUUACGAGAAAUCAAAGUGCUUGGGCUCCAGGGGGAGUAUGGUCGCAAGGCUGAAACUUAAAGAAAUUGACGGAAGGGCACCACCAGGGGUGAGCCUGCGGCUUAAUUUGACUCAACACGGGGAAACUCACCAGGUCCAGACACAAUAAGGAUUGACAGAUUGAGAGCUCUUCUUGAUUUUGUGGGGUGGUGUGCAUGGCCGUCUUAGUGGUGGGGUGACUUGUCUGCUUAAUUGCGAUACGAACGAGACCUUAACCUGCUAAAUAGCCCGCAUUGG
rnacentral:rRNA from 1 species